AGGGAAUCUUCGGCAAUGGACGGAAGUCUGACCGAGCAACGCCGCGUGAGUGAAGAAGGUUUUCGGAUCGUAAAACUCUGUUGUUAGAGAAGAACAAGGAUGAGAGUAGAAAGUUCAUCCCUUGACGGUAUCUAACCAGAAAGCCACGGCUAACUACGUGCCAGCAGCCGCGGUAAUACGUAGGUGGCAAGCGUUGUCCGGAUUUAUUGGGCGUAAAGCGAGCGCAGGCGGUCUUUUAAGUCUGAUGUGAAAGCCCCCGGCUUAACCGGGGAGGGUCAUUGGAAACUGGGAGACUUGAGUGCAGAAGAGGAGAGUGGAAUUCCAUGUGUAGCGGUGAAAUGCGUAGAUAUAUGGAGGAACACCAGUGGCGAAGGCGGCUCUCUGGUCUGUAACUGACGCUGAGGCUCGAAAGCGUGGGGAGCAAAC
rnacentral:rRNA from 1 species